rnacentral:rRNA from 1 species
CCUACGGGGGACAACAGUGAGGAAUAUUGGUCAAUGGACGGAAGUCUGAACCAGCCAUGCCGCGUGCAGGAAGACGGCUCUAUGAGUUGUAAACUGCUUUUGUACAAGGGUAAACCUGAAUACGUGUAUUCAGCUGAAAGUACUGUACGAAUAAGGAUCGGCUAACUCCGUGCCAGCAGCCGCGGUAAUACGGAGGAUCCAAGCGUUAUCCGGAUUUAUUGGGUUUAAAGGGUGCGUAGGCGGAUUGAUAAGUUAGAGGUGAAAUGUCCGAGCUUAACUCGGGAACUGCCUCUAAUACUGUUGAUCUAGAGAGUAGAUGCGGUAGGCGGAAUGUAUGGUGUAGCGGUGAAAGGCUUAGAGAUCAUACAGAACACCGAUUGCGAAGGCAGCUUACCAAUCUAUAUCUGACGUUGAGGCACGAAAGCGUGGGGAGCAAACAGGAUUAGAUACCCGGGUAGUC